GUCAGCCUGGGAUGGCCAGCAAAGCAGCAUGUGCUUCUCCUGGCUCAGCAACAAGUAAAACAAUACCGGGAUAUUGCAGAAGCGCAUGGAAAGGUUUUGUCACGGAGGACAUUCAUGGGCAGGAAGGAAGGGAGGACUGUGGGCCAGGAGCCAUUGCGGCCACCUGCUUGGAUGUUCACCUCAAAGGGCAACCAACCAACAACCCCAAUGUGCAGCCAACCACACUGAGCGUAUCUGCACACAGAGUUCACCCACUCUUUAAGGCUGCGGGCUACAAGACCUUUGCCUGGGCUGCGUCCAACCCGGGAGCCUCAAACAACAGCAGCAAUAGGAUGGUGCCAGCGAGAGCCGAGCCAACGUUGUGCUGGAUGUGCUCCGCACUGCAUUACGUCUGAGGCAUGCCAUUCUUCCCACAUACAUUGCUGUACCCACCCAAUCAUGAAAGAGGCCUUGGCUGCCUUCCCUGCUGCUCCAACAUUUGCAUCUUUAUCCUGAAUUAAACUCCAGUCCAAACUCUGCUAA